UUAGGAGAUUUUAAUGAAAUUUUAUACUCUUUGGAAAUCAUGGGUGGUAAUGCGAGACCUAAUGCAAUGAUGGAGUUCCGUGAUUGUCUCAUAGAGCGUGGUUUGGACGAUUUGGGUUUCCCUGGCGAUCCUUUUACCUCGAGAAGAGGUGAAAUCAGGUAACAACUGGACCGGGCAGUUUGCAAUGUGGACUGGGCACAUAAAUUUCUUCGGAUUGCAUUUAUUAACGAGGAACACGUACACUCUGACCAAAGCAUGUUGGUUCUGGAUAUGGAUUAUUUCGGUGACAAUAUGUUUAGUCGUCCGAAGAGCCGUGUGAAACAAUUGGAAGGCAGGUGUCUGAAACAAGAGACCGUUGUUGAAAUUGUCACGUCGUCCUGA
rnacentral:rRNA from 1 species